AGUCGACGGAAGUCGUUGUAAUGAAAUGGAAAUGGACAGAGGACUUGUUCGAAGAAAGUUGAAGUAGACUUACAACAAUGGCUUUAGUGGCGGACUGGUGAGUAACGCGUAAGGAACCUGCCUUUUAGAGGGGAAUAACAAUGAGAAAUCAUUGCUAAUACCGCAUAUGCCGAGAGAAUCACAUGGUACAAUCGGGAAAGGAGCAAUUCGCUAAAAGAUGGCCUUGCGUCUGAUUAGAUAGUUGGUGGGGUAACGGCCUACCAAGUCGACGAUCAGUAGCCGGACUGAGAGGUUGAACGGCCACAUUGGGACUGAGAUACGGCCCAGACUCCUACGGGAGGCAGCAGUCGGGAAUAUUGCGCAAUGGAGGAAACUCUGACGCAGUGACGCCGCGUAUAGGAAGAAGGUUUUCGGAUUGUAAACUAUUGUCGUUAGGGAAGAGAAAGGACAGUACCUAAGGAGGAAGCUCCGGCUAACUACGUGCCAGCAGCCGCGGUAAUACGUAGGGAGCGAGCGUUAUCCGGAAUUAUUGGGUGUAAAGGGUGCGUAGACGGGAAGAUAAGUUAGUUGUGAAAUCCCUCGGCUUAACUGAGGAACUGCAACUAAAACUGUUUUUCUUGAGUGCAGGAGAGGUAAGU
rnacentral:rRNA from 1 species